UACAGAGGGUGCGAGCGUUGUCCGGAAUCACUGGGCGUAAAGGGCGCGUAGGUGGUGGCUUAAGCGUGCGGUGAAAGCUCGGGGCUCAACCCCGAGUCGGCCGUGCGAACUGGGCUCACUGGAGCAUAGUAGAGGCAGGUGGAAUUCCGGGUGUAGCGGUGGAAUGCGUAGAGAUCCGGAGGAACACCAAAGGCGAAGGCAGUGUCCUGGGGAGUACCUGACGCUCAGGUGCGAAAGCCAGGGGAGCGAACGGG
rnacentral:rRNA from 1 species